ensembl:snRNA U6 U6 spliceosomal RNA
GUGCUUGCUACUGCUGCACAUAUACUAAAUUGGAUCGAUACAGAGAGAUUAGCAUGGCCCCUGCGAAAGGAUGACAGCAAAUCCGUGAAGCGUUCCAUAUUUGU